rnacentral:rRNA from 1 species
ACACGACUACAUUAGAUACCCCGGUAGUCCAGGGUGUAAACGCUGCGGGCUUGGUGUUGGGGGUCCUUUGAGGGCGCCCAGUGCCGGAGAGAAGUUGUUAAGCCUGCUGCUUGGGAGUACGUCCGCAAGGAUGAAACUUAAAGGAAUUGGCGGAGGAGCACCACAAGAGGUGGAGGCUGCGGUUCAAUUGGACUCAACGCCGGAAAACUCAUCGGGAGCGACAGCAGUAUGAUUGCCAGGUUGAUGACCUUGCUUGACAAGCUG